GGAAGGUGAGGAUGACGUCAAGUCAGCAUGCCCCUUACGCCCUGGGCUACACACGUGCUACAAUGGCCGGGACAAAGAGCUGCAACCCCGCGAGGGCAAGCCAACCUCAAAAACCCGGUCUCAGUUCGGAUUGCAGGCUGCAACUCGCCUGCAUGAAGUCGGAAUCGCUAGUAAUCGCCGGUCAGCCAUACGGCGGUGAAUACGUUCCCGGGCCUUGUACACACCGCCCGUCACACCAUGGAAGCUGGUCACACCCAAAGUCGUUAUUCUAACCGUUUGGAGGAAGGCGCCUAAGGUAGGAUUGGUGACUGGGGUGAAGUCGUAACAAGGUAGCCGUACCGGAAGGUGCGGCUGGAUCACCU
rnacentral:rRNA from 14 species